CCCAGACUAGCUCUGUUGGCAGACCAUGAGACUCAUAAUCUCAGGGUAGUGGGUUUGUGUCCCACGUUGGGCG
rnacentral:tRNA from 1 species